UAUUUACUUUGACAGAUUAAUGUAUUAAAUUUAGAAUUUAAAUAAUAUAUAAAUAUUUAUAAUUUUUUAUAUAAGUAA
rnacentral:tRNA from 1 species